GUAUAAAUAACGAAGUUGAAUAAAAUUCAUCAGUCUGGUAGUAAACAAUAAAACUAUAUAUUUUAUAAAAAGGCAACAAAAAAUUUGGGAAAAAUAAUCUUUCAAUAUCAAACUUUAUUUUACAAAACAAGGUAACUAAUACCAAAUUUUUAGACUUAGUGCACCGUAGUAACGUACACUUCAUUGGUCGCAUUCAGCGGACGUAGCAAAGCCCUCCCGAUACGUAGCGGUAGCGAUUGGACAUUUGAAUUUACAUAGCCAUGGCUGAAACGUCCGGUGCAUGUUGCACUACAAAUCCAUGUUGUGGGGUGGACGCCAUUUUUAGUAGCAAGUUUAUUUUUGCUAGGUGGCAGUAGCGAAGCGAUCGGUAUUGGCAGAAUUUCAUCUUGAAAGAGGAAUUUGGUUAGGGUGUAUUGGACAGUGAUGGGUCCCAACGGGGAAGUUUUUUCGAAAACCCCACGAAUUUUCGAAGAUCGUAUGAAGAAUGUAUUUUCACUGAACCGAAGAAAUAUUGGACAGGAUAUGGAGAAACUUGAAAAAAAUCUACACAGGCACCAAAGACAAUCUAGGGAAACCUGGAAGGGGUAUAAUUUACUAGGAAUAUUAUCACCAGAUUGAUGAAAUACAUAGGGAGGACAAAACCGUUAACCUCCUUAACCUAAUACCUCUACAAUGGUGCCCCUUGCC